rnacentral:lncRNA from 1 species
UUUUAAAAUGUCAAGAAUGCUAAGAAUUAGUCUUAAGAAUUGCUUAUAGAUAAUAAGUAUAAAUACAAAAAUAGUUUUUAGAAAGUAUUAAUUUUCUUACCUUUUUGAUAGAGCAAGUUGCUUUGUUCCCCCAACUGAGCUGUAAACCAAUAUUCUCACACAUUGUAGGGGUGACGAGAUGUGAAGGCAUAUUGCCAUUCAUCUGUCCCUCAGGUGGGCAAGACCCUUAGUUGGAAUCCAAUUAAGGAUUUAGACUGCUCUCUUUACCUUAAUGCUCAUGGAGUUCAGGACACGUUACUCCAAAAUAUAGCACCUGGGCAUUUGAGAAAACAGUGGGAAGGUCACUCAUACCUCCCCUUCACUCUUUCUGUCCUGAAGCAGGUCAUAAAAUCUAGUUAACCUUCUCUGUGAUUUAGGUCAUAAACCCUUUAUUCCAGAGAUACCCUCCCUAUAUCUGUCUUAUCCUCCAAGACAGAGAGAGAUACCAAACAGAACCUGAACAUACAGACCUUGCUAGUUUCAUUAGUAUGAACCGCCAAUCAUACUAAUGCACAACUGUCAGUAAAAACAGAUUUCUCUGUUUCUCUGAGUCUUAAAUUUAUAUUAAAUAAGUUUAUUAUAAAAUAAACAUCAAAUAAAUGCCUUUCUCCUGUUAAUCUGCCUUUUGUUAUAGGGGCCUCAGCCAUGAACGUGGCCAUGAAUGAGAAAAGAAAUCUCUCUUCCCCUACACUGCUUUUAAAAAGAGCUACUUCCAAAGGGAUUGAGUCAUGUUAAGGUUAGCUCAGGCUCUCAUAAUUUUCCUUCCUUGAAGCAUUCAUGAUAUAAUCCAAGGGUUCCACACACUGUUUUCCUGUCCAUUCUCAAAAUGUGCUUCAUGGAACUGAUGUUCUGGGCCAUUAAACUGAGAUGAAGAGCUCUUAAUUGCUGCCAUUAUGUUUUGGAAUCUUCAUUUCAGUAGUGUGUGUGAUAGCACCCAACAAAGGUAGGGCUUUAUAUGGGUAUUUAAUA